rnacentral:lncRNA from 1 species
AAAAUGGCACUUGAAAGAGUUGAAAAUGGAGGUAACAAAUAAAGAAGAUGACUUAGAGGAUGCAUUAUACCAAGAAAUGUUUGACCUAAAGAAUAAUAGAGAUUGAUGAAAUGGAUGUUGCCAAAACUUAAAGAAGAAAUUAGAGUUUCUAGAAGAAAAUGAACUUGGGAUUUACGUAAAAGGUAAAAAAGAGUUUUUGAACCGCUAAGUGACCAUUAU